rfam:Raphidiopsis brookii D9 D9_21, whole genome shotgun sequence.
AGGAGCCGUGUGCGGUGAAAGUCGCAUGCACGGUUUUGAAGCAGAGGUAACCAGGGUGACCUGUUUAUCGACUGUAAC